UUGUUUAGAGGAAACUAAAGAAAUGGCUUCAACAAGAAAGAUCACAUGUUUAAUCCUAACAGGUAUUACAAAUUAAAAUAUAAAAGCAGCCCACACAAUUACAUCACUAUGAAAAUAUUCAUAUAUAAUAUUAAAAAAUACAAUGCAUGCAGUAUUUGUUGUGUUUAUCUGUAUUUAAUGAACAACAUGGCUGGGUGCUGGGUGCUGGUUUGUGGUCGUAGCACUCUCUAUCUAACCACUCGUUCAGGUGCUUUCUCGAGUGAUUGCAACCAACUACCGCACACGUAGUUCCCGAACCACUUUUCUUCAUGUUGUAAUUGUUAUAUCCUCUUUGUCUCUGCGAUAUCAGUGCUUUGUCGGCACAACGGAGCUAGCUAGCAAAACAAA